rnacentral:pre_miRNA from 1 species
CCCACACCUAUGUGUCUAGGACCUCAAAUGAUCACCAUUAAAUUUAUUACAGAUCUCUAGAAAAGUUAUCACAUGGAUGUGGGACUUAACUUUUCUAGAGAUCUGUACCAAAUUUAAUGAUGAUCCUUUGGGGUCCUACACAUGGGUGUGGG